rnacentral:lncRNA from 1 species
UUUUCAGAUAAUAUAACAUGGAUACCUUCCUUUUCACCUCGGAGUCUGUCAAUGAAGGCCACCCCGACAAACUUUGUGACCAAGUUUCAGAUGCCAUUCUUGAUGCUUGCCUAGAGCAAGAUCCAGAAAGCAAAGUUGCAUGCGAAACCUGCACAAAAACCAAUAUGGUCAUGGUCUUUGGAGAAAUCACAACGAAAGCCACCGUAAAUUAUGAGAAGAUAGUUCGGGAUACCUGCAGAGGGAUUGGAUUCAUUUCACCUGAUGUUGGGCUCGAUGCUGACAACUGCAAGGUCCUCGUUAAUAUCGAGCAACAGAGCCCUGACAUUGCCCAGGGAGUUCAUGGUCAUCUCACUAAGAAGCCUGAGGAAAUUGGAGCUGGAG